CCUACGGGAGGCAGCAGUGGGGAAUAUUGGGCAAUGGGCGCAAGCCUGACCCAGCAACGCCGCGUGAAGGAAGAAGGCUUUCGGGUUGUAAACUUCUUUUAGCAGGGACGAAGCAAGUGACGGUCCCUGACGAAUAAGCCACGGCUAACUACGUGCCAGCAGCCGCGGUAAGACGUAGGUGGCAAGCGUUAUCCGGAUUUACUGGGUGUACAGGGCGUGUAGGCGGGACUGCAAGUCAGAUGUGAAAACCCCGGUCUCAACCUGUGGCCUGCAUUUGAAACUGUAGUUCUUGAGUACUGGAGAGGCAGACGGAAUUCCUAGUGUAGCGGUGAAAGGCGUAGAUAUUAGGAGGAACACCAGUGGCGAAGGCGGUCUGCUGGACAGCAACUGACGUUGAGGCGCGAAAGCGUGGGGAGCAAACAGGAUUAGAUACCCGGGUAGUC
rnacentral:rRNA from 1 species